rnacentral:rRNA from 1 species
CGGGUGAGUAACGCGUGGGUAACCUGCCUCAUACAGGGGGAUAGCAGCUGGAAGCGGCUGGUAAUACCGCAUAAGCGCACAGUACCACAUGGUACAGUGUGAAAAACUCCGGUGGUAUGAGAUGGACCCGCGUCUGAUUAGCUAGUUGGCGGGGUAACGGCCCACCAAGGCGACGAUCAGUAGCCGACCUGAGAGGGUGACCGGCCACAUUGGGACUGAGACACGGCCCAG